rnacentral:rRNA from 1 species
CACGUAGGGUGCGAGCGUUAUCCGGAAUUAUUGGGCGUAAAGAGCUCGUAGGCGGUUUGUCGCGUCUGCCGUGAAAGUCCGGGGCUCAACUCCGGAUCUGCGGUGGGUACGGGCAGACUAGAGUGAUGUAGGGGAGACUGGAAUUCCUGGUGUAGCGGUGAAAUGCGCAGAUAUCAGGAGGAACACCGAUGGCGAAGGCAGGUCUCUGGGCAUUAACUGACGCUGAGGAGUGAAAGCAUGGGGAGCGAACAGG